CGGUGACGUCAUCAGUCAGCGCCGGUCUCUCGGUGUCACGUGCCCCGUGUGUCUCCGUGGUCGUGGCGUCCGUGUCUCUGAGUUGGUCCCGCGCGCGUUUGGUGCGGCUGGGGCCGGAAAUCCCCGGCAGGAGGCCUCAACUGAAGUAUUGUGUCCAGUCUGGGCACCACAUUUCAGGAAAGAUGUGGACAAAUUGGAGAAAGUCCGAGAAGAGCAACAAAAGUGAUUGAAGGUCUAGAAAACAUGACCUAUGAGCCAACAAUGCUGAGAAAAAGAUGCGCAAGACCCACAAUAUUAACUUCUUCAGAAAAGAAAACCAGGAGACAAAUUAUUGAUAAAAGGGUGGCGUACACAAGGAUAUACUUGGGGAAUCAAAUUGGCCGAUGGCUGACCUUAAGGGAAAAACUGGAUUUCAAAAGUGAUACAGACCUUGCAGGAUUUUUGCUGGAUCUCUAUGACCAUGAUGAUCCAUUACCUAAAGAAGCAGUAGUCUCCUUACCUGAAGAUAUGAAAAUCAUAACUGCGAAAGAAGAAAGAGAUUUACAUGACUCCUCUUCAGCUGUUGGAAUAGAAGGGGACGGAGUGAGUAGCAGAGGGCCCACAAGGAAAGCAGGACCUGGGAGGCCAAAGGCUAUCCGUAUUUCCAGGAGAGGAGCAGAGGCAGCAGCAGAGAAGCAGAGCAUAGAUAUGACAGUGAGGACCGACUGACUGCAGAAUCAGCCUGUUCUUUACCACAAAGUAGGGGAAUCAGAACCGUGAAAGAAGAGAGGCAUUUGCAGGAUGACUCCUCUUCAGUACAGAGUCAUGAAAAAUAAGUCAGCAUUCAUACAACGAGGUUUCCUGGUAUUCAGGUGAAGAUUCUCCUAUUGGCUCUGAAUCUGACCUUUCAGAAAGGUAAAAUUAUUUAAUACAGAAGGUAUUUCCUUUGUGCAUAGUAUAAAUUGGUACUUUGAAGAGCAGUGUAUUUUAUAUUGUUUGUAAAGUAUUUACUAAAUAUUCUUAUUAAAGGAAUAUUAAAAUUA